ACGUAAUAACUAAAACUAAUAAUCAUUUGCUACUUUUCUUUCAGACAAUGAUGAAAGCAGAUAUUCUAAAGACAGCCAGAUUACUACGCUAACUCCGUGUGAUAAUGCGCAUUCAAUAAUUUACAGAGUGUGGUGCUGUCGUACUACUUUUGUUAAUUGUUAUGUUCUUUCUGACAGAACAUUAGCUACUGUGUAUUAUGCCAUCGCAUACUGGGAGCAACUACACUUGGACAAAAGCCACAGGUUGGUUAGAUAGUGCAGUCACAAGUUUCGAUGAAGCUUACGUUGCCAACGUCACAAAUAGUGAUCCCAGCAUAAAGAAGUAUUGCAUCACAGCAUUUUACGUUUACGUUGCUGACGCCAACAGGAUUAGGAAACGUGUCACCAAAUACUAACGGCGGGAAAAUAUUCUCAGUAUUUGCUGUUCUGCUCGGUUGGCUGCUGAGUACUGCAAUCUUCGACGGUAACGUCUCUUUUAAAAUGAUGCGGGUGUAUCAGCGGACAGAUGACUACCAAGAAAAAAAACAUAAACACUUUCAUCAUCUUCCGAAGAAUCCUGCACACUGAUUGCAAGAGACCUUCCAACACAUCUGGGUGUACACUAAUGGAAUACGGUUUUAAAGAGUUUCCCGGAGUGCCUUCAAGCAAAUAUAUAACUUCAUUUGAACAGAAAUUUGCUGAAUAAGUGCCCAGCGUUCCAGAAGGCAUUUACAGGAUAUCUUCGUGUCUUAUCUAUGCAGUACGCCCCCUGGUGAAACAUUGCUACAUCCGGGUGAUAUACUGACAGCUCUCUAUCUAAUUGCAUGCGGUUCAUUGGAGAUUGUUACAGUAACAUAUUUGGUACAGCGAU